AGAGUUUGAUCCUGGCUCAAAUUGAACGCUGGCGGCAGGCCUAACACAUGCAAGUCGAGCGGAAAAGAGAAGCUUGCUUCUCUUGAGAGCGGCGGACGGGUGAGUAAUGCCUAAGAAUCUGCCUGGUAGUGGGGGAUAACGUUCGGAAACGGACGCUAAUACCGCAUACGUCCUACGGAAAAAAGCAGGGGACCUUCGGGCCUUGCGCUAUCAAAUGAGCCUAGGUCGGAUUAGCUAGUUGGUGAGGUAAUGGCUCACCAAGGCGACGAUCCGUAACUGGUCUGAGAGGAUGAUCAGUCACACUGGAACUGAGACACGGUCCACACUCCUACGGGAGGCAGCAGUGGGGAAUAUUGGACAAUGGGCGAAAGCCUGAUCCACCCAUGCCGCGUGUGUAAAGAAGGUCUUCGGAUUGUAAAGCACUUUAAGUUGGGAGGAAGGGCAGUUACCUAAUACGUGAUUGUUUUGACGUUACCGACAGAAUAAGCACCGGCUAACUCUGUGCCAGCAGCCGCGGUAAUACAGAGGGUGCAAGCGUUAAUCGUAAUUACUGGGCGUAAAGCGCGCGUAGGUGGUUUGUUAAGUUGGAUGUGAAAUCCCCGGGCUCAACCUGAGAACUGCAUUCAAAACUGACUGACUAGAGUAUGGUAGAGGGUGGUGGAAUUUUCCUGUGUAGCGGUGAGAUGCAUAUAUAUAGGAAAGAA
rnacentral:rRNA from 1 species